AACGCGAAGAACCUUACCUGGGCUUGAACUACUGGUGGUAAGUCCCUGGAAACAGGGGCUGACCCGCAAGGGAGCCAGCAGAGGUGCUGCAUGGUUGUCGUCAGCUCGUGUCGUGAGAUGUUGGGUUAAGUCCCGCAACGAGCGCAACCCCUAUCUCAUGUUGCUACUCCCGCAAGGGAGGCACUCUUGAGAAACUGCCUUCGAUAAGAAGGAGGAAGGUGGGGACGACGUCAAAUCCUCAUGGCCCUUAUGUCCAGGGCUACACACGUGCUACAAUGGCCGGUACAACGGGAAGCAAUACCGCAAGGUGGAGCCAAACCCUGAAAGCCGGCCCCAGUUCAGAUUGUGGGCUGCAACUCGCCCACAUGAAGGCGGAAUCGCUAGUAAUCGCGAAUCAGCAGGUCGCGGUGAAUACGUUCCCGGGCCUUGUA
rnacentral:rRNA from 2 species